GAUGAUAUAUACAGUUAUUAGCUCAAUUUGUGUACGUAUUGAUGUAUAACAAUAUAUACCAUUGUUUUCAGUGUAUUAUAUUUACUAAUGCAUAUAACCAUACAAUACAUUAGUUAUCUGCUGUAUAUAUAAUUAUUAUGUGUGUGUGUGUGUGAUGUCUGUAUAUAUACGAUGUGUACAUACUGAUAUGUGUGUAUGUGUAAAGUGCAUAACUGUAUAUAUACAGUGCAUUAGUAUAUUCAUUUCUAUUUACAUUGAUAUAUAUAACGAUAUAUACACUGUUUAUCAGUUUAUACAGUUAUUAGUAUAAAUGUACAUUGAUUUGUAUACUACACACACUCACACUCACACACUCACGCACAAUCAUACUCCCACCCACACUCUCUCACACACACACACUCACACUCACACUCACUCACACUCACACUCACACACACACACUCAUACUCACACUAACACUCACACUCACACUAACACUCACUCACACACUCACACUCACACAGACUGACACACUCACACAUUCACACACUCACAGGCACAC
rnacentral:lncRNA from 1 species